AACGAACGCUGGCGGCAUGCCUAACACAUGCAAGUCGAACGAGACCUUCGGGUCUAGUGGCGCACGGGUGCGUAACGCGUGGGAACCUGCCCUUAGGUUCGGAAUAACUCCCCGAAAGGGGUGCUAAUACCGGAUAAUGUCUUCGGACCAAAGAUUUAUCGCCUUUGGAUGGGCCCGCGUUGGAUUAGCUAGUUGGUAGGGUAAAAGCCUACCAAGGCGACGAUCCAUAGCUGGUCUGAGAGGAUGAUCAGCCACACUGGGACUGAGACACGGCCCAGACUCCUACGGGAGGCAGCAGUGGGGAAUAUUGGACAAUGGGCGAAAGCCUGAUCCAGCAAUGCCGCGUGAGUGAUGAAGGCCUUAGGGUUGUAAAGCUCUUUUAACCGGGAUGAUAAUGACAGUACCGGGAGAAUAAGCCCCGGCUAACUCCGUG
rnacentral:rRNA from 1 species